UGAUCACAGUAUGUGAGGUGUGUCACACAGUCACACAGCCUCAGUGAGUCACAGCUUGCGAAGGGAACGUCCUGCUGCAUUCUGAGCGCUCAGUGGGACUUCACCUGCUCGGCCUCACACAGCUGACGGUCAAACCUGCUCAACUUGUUCUCAGCACUUUCAGUUUGGAGGAACUUUCCUGAAAAUGGCGCCGACAAAAUGGAGCUGGGGCCACGCUCGAGUCUCAGCAGCUUCCUUCAUCGAUCUGUUCGAACGCAGUGAGCCCAGGAUGAGACAGAUCACAGACCAACUGUGGAAAUUUGCUUAUGACUUGAGAAUCAAACUGAUUUAUUUAUUCGCAGCAGUGUUGGUAGGAUCACAUGUUCUGUUGGUUGUCAAUGCUAUGCUGUCUAAAGAUUUGUUUAUAUUGUUUCUAGUUGCAUGUCCCAUUUCUAUUUCUAUUGCUUUAAACCACAUGGCAUCAGAAAGUUUAAAUGAAGUGGACAGAUUAAGAGAAGAGUUCAGAAUGUUGGUUUUAUCAGUGACCUGUGGACUGGAGGGAGUAAAGAUCACGUGUGGAGAUCUGAGGAGGACAUCGGUCGGAGCUGAGACCUUGACGUUCAUCAGACUGGAAAUCACCAUCCUGGAGCUUCUGGCCUCGAGCGAAAAACUCAGAACACCUGCAUCUGUACUUCGACCUUCACAGGUGGCUCACGACUGCAGGAAGACUCUGGAUGGAUUUGCAAAGGUAAAAACAGAACUACAAUCAUUUGAAGAGUCUCAACGGAGAUUCAACUGUCAGAUCAGUUAGAAUUCAACAUCAGAAUGAAUCAGAAUCUGUUUCAAAGCGACGGUUCAUCAGAGGAAAUUGAAAACCUGCGUUGUGUUAAUGAAGAAUCUCUGUGUAUGAAUUUAUCAUGUGAUGAACUAAAAAGUAUUUGUCCAGGCUACGAAGGGUAAUAAAUAUAUAGUUUAUAUAUAUAUAUAUAUAUACUGUAUAUAUAUUAAACUAAAUGACUGUAUUUUAUUUUUUAAAUGUUCUCUGUUACAGAAACACACAUACAGACCACAUACUGUAUAUACAUCAGACAAACCAGAAUCCAUCUGUAAAUUAUCAAAUGUUUACUAUGUUGAAAUAAACAUCAUGAAGAAUG